rnacentral:misc_RNA from 1 species
UACGUAGGUGGCAAGCGUUGUCCGGAAUCAUUGGGCCUCAAGCGCGCGCAGGCGGUCCCUUAAGUCUGAUGUGAAAGCCCACGGCUCAACCGUGGAGGGUCAUGGGAAACUGGGAGACUUGAGUACAGAAGAGGAGAGUGGAAUUCCACGUGUAGCGGUGAAAUGCGUAGAUAUGUGGAGGCGCACCAGUGGCGAAGGCGACUCUCUGGUCUGUAACUGACGCUGAGGCGCGAAAGCGUGGGGAGCAAACAGG